rnacentral:rRNA from 1 species
GUAGGGAAUAUUGCGCAAUGGGCGAAAGCCUGACGCAGCAACGCCGCGUGGGUGACGAAGCUUUUCGGAGUGUAAAACCCUGUCAGUGGGGAAGAAACGGUCGCGUAGGUAAUGACGCGGCCCUGACGGUACCCGCAGAGGAAGUUCCGGCUAACUCCGUGCCAGCAGCCGCGGUAACACGGGGGGAACGAGCGUUGUUCGGAUUUACUGGGCGUAAAGGGUGCGUAGGCGGGCCGGUCAGUCGGGUGUGAAAGCUCACGGCUUAACCGUGAAUCUGCAUCCGAAACUGCUGGUCUUGAGUACGGGAGAGGAAAGUGGAAUUCCAGGUGUAGCGGUGAAAUGCGUAGAUAUCUGGAGGAACACCGGUGGCGAAGGCGGCUUUCUGGACCGAUACUGACGCUGAGGCACGAAGGCCGGGGGAGCAAACAGGAUUAGAAACCCUAGUAGUCC